AUGGUCUGCCGCUGGGGAAGAAAGCGAGGCUCAGCCCGUGAAGAUGGGGGGAGCCGAUCGUUUCAUCAGCCACUUCUAACCGAGCUUCUACUGCGUGCCAGGGCUGAGCUGGCGAGGCAGCGAGACCCAGCGCUGCCUGCCAGGAGGAGACGUCAGACUGAGUCACAGAACCAAACCCAGGGCCCAGGGCAGACAGGGCUUUCCAACGAGAAGACGAAGUCAGUGUGGACGGCAGUGAUCAGCAAGGAGGCGAGGGAGAGCAUUCCAGUCCAGGACAUGGAGGCCCCAGUGAGACCACUCAACUUACCAAGGUGACAAAAGAAAGAAGCUCCUAUGGCACACAGACCAGUGCUUACCUAGCCCCUGGAGAAGACUGAACCAUCCAAGAAGCAAAAGGCAAAGGAGGCCUCGGGUGGUUCUGUGUCUUGACCAAGGAUAGCAAAGACUCCCUCAGAUCCUGCCGGAAGCAGAGGCACACAAAGGAGGGCAGGGCGGGACAGGAGUGCUCCUGGUCCCAGCACCCUCCCUCGGGUCUGCGCCAAUGUGUUCCCCAGCAACUCUACCUGUCAUCAAUACUCUGCUUCUGCUGCCACCAACACAGGAUAAUCUGAUCUGGAAGGGAGGAAAAGAGAGUGCAGUAUCUGUAGCAACAAACAUCAUCAAAUGUCCUGGCUCCCUUCCCGGGGCUUCCAUAAAAACGCAGGAAGGAAGAAGCCACGGAGUGGAGCCGCAUCAGCAAGUCUUCCUCGCGUCUCCAUUAAGUCAUUAAGGGAGGACUUUGCAGCUCUGGGGAUGACAGCCAGGGUGCUGCUUCGUGGGGUGGGGGGCGGGGAGCGGGGGGAGGCUCCUGUUGGCAGGACAGCUCAGUGACAAACAGGGACACAAAGAGGUGUGGGGGGCAUUUGUCUUCCUGGAUUGUUCUGUCUCUCCACUCCCAUAUGCAACAUUUUGCCAAAACCAGCUUUAGCCCUGAUUGUUUUAAUCAUGCUUACCGCAUUUAAGACCUUGGUUUUGAGUCAAGGUUUCACAUACGACUCCGAACUGCGUAACCAGUGUCCUGAUUUCUAUUCUUGGGAAGGUGGGAGGCAGCAGGGCAGGGGGGAUACUUCUAGGAUCUUUCACACAAGAUUUUUUUUUUUUUUACUUAUUUGAUAGGUAGAGUUAGACAGUGAGAGAGAGAGAGAGAGACAGAGAGAAAGGUCUUCCUUCCGUUGGUUCACCCCCCAAAUGGCCGCCACAGCCAGCAUGCUGCACCGAUCCAAAGCCAGGAGCCAGGUGGUCUUCCACACGGGUACAGGUGCCCAAGCACUUGGGC
rnacentral:lncRNA from 1 species